rnacentral:rRNA from 1 species
AACGUAGGAGACAAACGUUAUCCGGAGUUACUGGGCGUAAAGGGCGUGUAGGCGGUUUGUUAAGUCUGGCGUGAAAGCUCUCGGCUAAACCGGGAGAGGUCGUUGGAUACUGGCAAACUAGAGGAUGGUAGAGGCGUGUGGAAUUCCGGGUGUAGUGGUGAAAUGCGUAGAGAUCCGGAGGAACACCAGUGGCGAAGGCGACACGCUGGGCCAUACCGUGACGCUAAAGCGCGACAGCAUGGGGAGCAAACGGG